UUGGUUAGCUUAGCGUAGCUUCAUAGCUGCACUGUUGCCGGGGCCAGAAGGUGCUGCUAGUUAGCCACAUGCUAUUUGAAGGAGCUUCGGGUUUGUUUUAACGUCGUUGACCAUGAGGAAGGACGUCAGGAUAUUACUAGUCGGGGAACCUAAAGUCGGAAAGACAUCACUGAUCAUGUCGCUGGUCAGUGAAGAGUUUCCUGACGAGGUCCCGCUGCGUGCUGAGGAGAUCACCAUUCCUGCCGACGUCACCCCUGAGCGAGUACCGACACACAUAGUGGAUUACUCGGAAGCAGAGCAGUCGGAUGAGCAGCUCUACCAGGAAAUCUCUAAGGCAAACGUCAUAUGUAUAGUGUAUUCAGUAAACAACAAAAAGUCUAUUGAGAAGGUGACCAGUCACUGGAUUCCCCUCAUCAAUGACAGAACAGACAAGGACAGCAGAGUGCCCCUGAUUCUUGUUGGGAAUAAAUCAGACCUGGUGGACCACAGCAGCAUGGAGACCAUUCUUCCCAUCAUGAACCAUUACUCAGAAAUCGAGACCUGUGUCGAGUGUUCUGCAAAAAACCUGAAGAACAUCUCCGAACUGUUCUACUACGCCCAGAAGGCCGUUUUGCACCCUACAGGCCCCCUGUACUGCCCGGAGGAAAAAGAGAUGAAGCCUUCUUGCAUCAAAGCACUUACACGCAUCUUUAAAAUCUCAGACUUGGACAACGAUGGCGUUCUCAAUGACCACGAGCUCAAUUUCUUCCAAAGAACCUGUUUUAACAUGCCGCUUGCUCCUCAAGCGUUGGAAGAUGUGAAAAAUGUCGUGCGGCGAAACAUGGCGGAUGGUGUGAGGGACAACGGUCUCACCCUUAAAGGGUUCUUGUUCCUACACACACUGUUCAUCCAGAGAGGGAGGCACGAAACCACGUGGACUGUGCUCCGAAGGUUUGGCUACGAUGACGACCUGGAACUCACCCAGGAAUAUCUGUUUCCACUGUUAAAAAUACCUCCAAACUGCACCACAGAGCUGAACCACAACGCGUACCUCUUCCUGCAGAGCGUCUUUGACAAGCACGACAAGGAUCGAGACUGUGCGUUGUCACCCGACGAGCUGAGAGAUCUGUUUAAAGUCUUCCCUUACAUGCCCUGGGGUCCUGACGUCAACAACACAGUGUGCACCAGCGAGCAGGGCUGGAUCACCUACCAGGGAUACCUGUCGCAGUGGACGCUGACGACGUACAUGGAUGUGCAGCGCUGCUUGGAGUAUCUGGGUUACCUGGGUUACUCUAUUAUUCACGAACAGGAGUCGCAGGCCGCCGCAAUCACGAUCACCAGGAACAAACACAUCGACCUGCAGAAGAAGCAGACCCAGCGCAGUGUGUUCCGGUGUAACGUCCUGGGAGCACGCGGCAGUGGCAAGAGCGGCUUCCUGCAGGCGUUCCUGGGCAGAAACUUAGCUAGGCAAAAAAAAAUUAGGGAAGAUCAUAAAUCGUACUAUGCCAUCAGCACCACGUACGUCUAUGGACAGGAGAAGUACUUGCUUCUGCAUGAGGUUCUCCCAGACUUUGAGUUCCUCUCAGAAGCAGAUUUGGCCUGUGACGUCGUCUGUCUCGUGUACGACGUCAGUAACACACGGUCGUUUGAGUACUGUGCCAAGACGUAUAAGAAAUACUUCAUGGACAGCAAGACUCCGUGUAUGAUGAUCGCCGCCAAGUCCGACCUGCAUGAGGUUCGCCAACACUACAGCACGUCUCCUCUGGACUUCUGCAGAAGGCACAAGCUGCACCCACCGCAGCAGUUUACCUGUAACACGGCCGAAGCGCCCAGCCGAGAAAUCUACACCAAACUCACCACCAUGGCCAUGUAUCCCCAUGCCAAGCUCCGCUGCAUGUGUGCCUGCAACAGGUGCACUUUUUGCAUCAGUCAGAACCUGCUGAACAGUGAGCUCCUGCGUUCGGUCAGGGCCAAACUCUACAGUGUCAUUGUGAACAGGUGUUCGUCUUCCAGUGUUUGCCUGGGCCUGUUCCUUCUUGUAUUGCAUCUUGUCACCUCAUGUUAACCCUGUCAUCAUGCCUGCGUUUAUCUCUUUCAGCACCUGGACUGUAAUAUUAUUGUUAUAUGUUAAUAAUAUUAUUAUUUAGAUCAGGGGGUUUGGUCUUAACCCGUUACAGGCAGGAAGUUUGUUUCACUCUGUGAAGAGUUACUUGGUGUGGUUUGGCAUGUGUGCGAUGAAUUAGUAGUUAAUUCCAACUCCUAAAACUUGGUACUUUUAUUUUAACUCUACAGGUAGUCCCUGACUUAUGAACAUUCAAGUUAAGAAUUUCCGCAGAUACGAACUGACCACAGUUCUACUUUUAGUUCAGUCGCAAAAGGAAAAUGAGUCUGCCUCACCGGUUUCAAUGAAUUAGUCACGAUGAUGGAAAAUGUCUGUUCUGUAAAGCUGUCCUGAUUUUGAAUAAUCCUCAUUUUGGAAAAUCCUCAACAAAAAAAGUUCACAGUCCAAUACAGUGGGAAAACAGCUCUGAGACAAAAUGGCAUCUGGGAUUCCCCUUCGUGAUUUAUAGGGGCAGAGACAACACUAACAUUUCAUGUGUAAGAUUCAUUUCCUUAGGGGUGGUUACAGUUUUUGGCCACAUGAUGGCAGUGUGGGGGGAGGGGACAGCGAUUUAGUCAUGUGGAUUGGUCUGCUUUUGCACUGUAUAUUCGUGUCAAAGGCGUACAAGACUCACUUUGUUAGACUGGAGAACAAAUCAGACUUACGAAUGUGCUCUCGGAACGUAACUCAUUCGUAAAUCAGGGACUACCUGUACUGCUACUACUACUUGUAAUGGUAAUUUCUUCAUGGUGGUUGAUAUAAAACCCAGCUGUUGAUGGCAGCAUUUUUUUUAUUUUUUUUUUUUCUUUUGAGGUACAUUUUUAACCUUCUUGUUAAAGAACAUGAUUCAUCGGCAUCUGGGCCUUUUUUAAGGUGUGGUGUACUCUGGUGUCUGUAUCUCCGUGCAGUGCUUGGAUAAAGGAAGAUGCAUUUCACUGAGAAUGCUUAGACGAUGUACUCACCACUCUGACUGGACAUCCGACACCCAGGAUCAGUCAGAGGUUCUCACUGCACUGUGGACUUUGUCCUUUUGAAUGAUUGAUCCUGUUGGUUUUUCUCUGCUGCAUUUCUGGGUGGUUGUGUGGAGCAUGUGUAGAGGUGACCGUGUUGUGACUGGUAGUAUGUAUGCAUGCACACACAGUUUUUUUUGUUUGUUUGUUUGUUUUAAAUGACAAACACCUGUCGUUUGGCUGAUGAGGAGAUCAGACUCAUCCAUCAGAUGCAGCUUUGUAAAGGACUUGAUCUACAUGGAGGCAUCCGACAACCCGUUAGUGUCCAGACACAUGACCCAGGCUGACCUGAAGAACUCGACGUUCUGGCUACGAGCUAGCGUCGGAGCCACAGUAUUCGCAGUGCUUGGCUUCGCCAUGUAUAAAGCUCUUCUCAAGCAGCGGUGAUCAGUUCCAGGCAACAUGUGACUGCGCUCCUCCAUCCAUUUUUCUUCUUCUUCUUCUUCCCCCUGACCCAGUCAUUAUACCUUGAUAAAACUAGUAGUAUGAUGGUGAUGAUGAUGGAUAGCUCUAUUUUAUAUAUUUGAACCUACAUUCAUCCAUGGACCCAUUCUCCUUCUCUUGGUUUAAACCUGUGCUCAAAUGUAUAUCAAAUGUCUUGUGUGUCAGCCAUGAUGGAAUGCCUCUUGAUGGACUGGCCUUUUUUUUUUUUUUUUUUUUUUUUUUUUAAAUGACAUUAUUUUCCUCAGAUCAGUAUUAGCACGUGUGACUCCAAUUGGAGGCGCAAGAGGACAGAACACUUGUUUAUAAAUGUAAAUAUUGCACAGGAAUACCUACAGCUUCAGAGAAUUAAAGGCAGUACAGGACACUCAUGCACGCACAUAUAAUGGGAGAUGCACAGAAACAAAGCCAUUUCUCACUGUAUAGGUCAUUAUGCUUCGAGCACCUUCCAGCAGUAAUAAUUUAUUAAUGCCAUGUUUGUCAGUCAAAACAUUUUCAUUUGGCCUUGCAUGCAGCAGGCGCACUAUACAGGAUUAUUAUUUUUUUUUUAAUGAUAUGGUUUGCUUUUAUAUUUAUGUUUGUUAGUUUUCGCUCGCGGCCCCAAAAGCUGGCUUAUAAACUUCACCGCGAUGUUGACAAGAUCACAAGUAAGAGCCAAAGUAUAGAUCCUGUGGUCAGGUGAGUGAGAGAUGGUCUCUAUGAGAACUCUGUCGAUAGGCUCCACAUUAAAUAUUUACUACUUUUCUGUAUUAAUACACACCACAGCCACCAGUGCACCUGUUCUGUUCUGAUUAAUGCCGCAGUGUUUUAUUCAGUGCAAACUCCCAGUUCGAACCCAUAAAGAUGUUGUACUCAUUUCUGACCUUUCAAACAUUUACAAUAAACUGUGAUUAUAGA